CCGGGCAGCGUGUGUCCGUGCACAGGCCCACGUCUAGGUAUGCGGGGCCGCCGCCCGGCUGGCGGCAGUCGUCGGGAAGCUUGAUCAAAUGUUCCUGAGGUCGGGGGUCGCAGGCCGGCUGGCCAGGAGCUGGGGAGUCCACACACCCGGGUCAAAGGAGGGUAACUGAGGCAUGGGGGUCCCCGAAGCCUUGCAGCAGAAGAUCACGUGCUGACCUGCCUCUCUCACUUGGGACUCGGGGUGCUUUACCAGGCCCCACCCCUGACCGUCCCUCUUCAGGGCCCGUCCCCUCCUACCUGGACACCUGGACCUCACGCACUUCUGCGCCUCCUGGGGGCUCCCAGGACACUUAUCCCCAGAAGAGCUUUGACAGCUGCGGCGGCGCAGGCGACGGCCUGGCCCGCAGCUCUUGGAGCAGAGACCCCACGCGCCCCAUGCGCCCCAUGCGGCCUCUGCGGAGCAAGGAGGAAGAUAAGGAGCUGUCAGCCCCCUACAGAGGGCUCUCUGGACUAAGCGGAUCCGGUUCCCUGGCAGACACGCACCCUGACUGCAGAACACACCCCGGCUCCCUGCCGGGUGCACUCCUGGUUAGCCCUGCUGUUCCCCAUCAGUCUUGAAUAUGACGGGGGGGCUCAAGCCAUCCCCCAGCACUGAGCUAUUCGGGAUGGAUUGUUGGGGUCCUGGCACGUCGAUACUCGCCCCCUCAAACCAAUGCCCGCAGGGUGUAGGUGUGUCUCAUCGAAGCCACGCCCACACGACCCCACCUCGGUGGAAACGCAGGCCCAGCUCUCACCGGAUCUUGCUCCUCAGGGUCACACUUUCAUUGUCCCCGCCCGCCCAGGACUACCUUACCCACUGGGCAGCGGAAGCGCACGUGGUAGUUGGAGCAGCGGCGGCCUCGGGGCUGCUCCCAAUUGAGACACCAGAAACCGCGUGCCGGGUUGGCGUGCACGCGCUCGCCCAUGGAUGCCGGUAGCGCCCAGUCUGUGGUGCGCGCC